GCCACUGUGUGUCUUGUGACACAGGGUCCAUGACAGAAAUUCAUCUUCCAGAAAGUCCCAGAGCAGCGUCCAUACCCCUGAAAAGACCAAGAUGUGAGGUGUCUGCUGUUGAUUCCAGCUUCCACCUCAAUGACAGUGCAAGCUCAGUGAACUGUUCAAGGUAAAAAAAAAUUAAAACAUUUCAGAAUUUUUAAGAUAUUAACAAUUAAAUAAGUAUGUGAUUACAUCAUGACAUCAUGAAGGAGGCUACUGAUUCUGCCCCUGUGACACUUGGUGGUGACGUGUGAGCUGAUUCACCUGGACACUCAGCAAAAUAUGGACUCUACACCAUGAGGCAGGCACACAUUAAUACUCUAUAAGAGCACAUAAGCAUGAGGAUGUCCUCACACACUUGUAACCUAUCAGCUCAUCUGGCAGAAUAGAGAGAGAAGAGACAACACCACAUCUCCUGUUCCUGGAAAGCCUUCAGCCAUCCUUCGAUGACUUGAGAACCUCCAUCAGCUCUGUCUCCUGUCUGCCUACAAUUAUUAUAAAAAAUAUUGUGUUUGACAAGUUUUUUGUGCUGCCAAAUGUCUCAUUUUGAUUCCAAUUUUUAUAUUUAAAUGGAUAUUUAUAAAUUACAUUAAUUGAAUUAUCACAUUGUUGCAUGCUUAACUAGCUCUAUUGUGAUGAAUUAAACUAGCACCUCACUGUUAAAAGCUCGUUUUAAUUUCAAGCAUGUUUAAGUAUUUAUGGACAUGAACAAAAACAGGAAAUAUAUAAAUUGAGAUUUAUUUAAUUAGUAUAACAAAUAAGGAGGAAAGAGUCAUUGAAAGGCACAUUCUUUUGGAAGCUCCUGAUCCUGACGACACCAGCAGAGGAGACCACCUGCAGACACCAGAGGAUCACCUACGACCAAGAGAGCAGCUGGUAUCAGUAAAUAAAUAAAUCAGGGCAGUUUUAGUGGGCUGAACACAUUACAGAAUAAUUUUCUCAUGGGGUAUUUUCACAACUUUCUAUGCAGCAGACUGUAACUUGAGCCCAGGGCUCCUGGAGAGCUGCUAUCCAGCACGUUUCAGUGGUUUUCCUGCUUUAACAGGUUAGAUUAGCUGUUAAGCAGCUCAGCUAUUUGUUGCUGAUUAAAACCAGGUGUGUUGAAGCAGAUAAAUCUCUAAAACAUGCUGAAUACUAGCUCUCUAGGGCCGUGGAGCCAAACCCUGCAGCUAAUCUAAUGCUAUGGCUAACGGCUACUUACCAUUCAGAGCAGGUUCUGUUUGGUCGGUUCCGGUAGUUUCAGGCAACUCACAAGCUCAAAACAAUAAGGCUCAGGUCCGCUUUCUCCUCCAAAUAGACUUCGGACUUGGACUUAUGUUAAGAAGAAGAAGAAAAUAUCAUUUCUAUAGCACCUCUCAAGAUAAAAAUCACGAGGCGCUUAAGCAUAAUUCUGUGCACACGAAGACGCAUAAGAGACCUGGAUGAUGGAGCUCAAUGGUUAAAGGAAUAACUGAAGCGGUGUGAAGCGCUCCGUCGCGCGUCUAGGCGGUACCGUAGGAGGCGAGCUGCCGUGGUUCGCCGCAUGCUACGGCAGCGAGCUAUCUAGGUGCGCACAGCGUCCCCCGGUCCCCUCCUCCUCCCCCUCCCCCCUUGUCCGGAACUUUACCUCACCAGUCUGAAGCAGCCACCCUGUCCGUAACAAGUCCGGACCUGUUACUAGGGGCUUCGUCCGGUAAAAUUCCGGAACACGUUAUCCGGAUGUUUGUAUUCAGACACAAAGGUCUUACGGACAGAGUCCGGAACAUUUCCGUUUUUCAUGGCCUGUCUGAAGGGGGCUCAGGUCACUACAGUUGUUUUGCGUCUUAGGAAUAACUCUUAAGGAGUUGAACUUUGUUCAGCUUUGUGCUGAAGGAACCGUUUGCGGUCAGCUGUAGCAUGCAACAGGUUUUUGACAGCUUGUCAUAGAUGCCAUGGGAGCAGUUUCCCUCUGAUAGCCAGUCAGAGCUAGCUCUAAAUCACUCAGGGAGUGAUGCUGUUUUAAAAUAAUGGCCAUAUAUUGGUUUAUUGAUAAAUCAGAACUUGCCCUGUAAAGGAGUUUAACAUCUCAGAUACACACCUCCCUCAGAUAUGAAGAUGCUGAUUUUGUGGAUAAGAAAAUAUCUCUGUGCAGUGACAUUAACUAUAACUUGUGUCAAUGAGGUAUGUUGAAUGUGUCUGGUCCAGUCAGUGCGAUGAUUAAGUAUAAGGGUCAUAUAUUUCAUUCUAUCCUUGUUAAACCAAACAUUACUGAUCAUAACAUCAAAUUGUUUCAUUGUAAUAUUAAAAUUCAUUUCAACUUCAUUGAAUUACGCACAGUUUAUUCAAACAUCAAUAUUAUUAUUCAUAUAACAUUUGUUCAUUCAACCAUAUUAUUAUUUAAUGACUAUUUAACUUAUGAGUUGUAAAAGUUCUUCUUUCAUGAGAGUGAGCAUUCCUGCGGUCUUAUCAAAAGAAGGCUUUGUUUGGGAACAUAGGCUGACAUCUUAUUCUCCCUGAAAUGUCACCAAGGUUUGCAGAAUCUUCUGGGCUUUAGAAGGCAGGUUAGAAACUUCACUCAGUGGAAUUAGGUCUGUAGGUGACCGGACAUUGUGUCGGUCGAUAUGUAGGUGAAAACUGACCAUUUCUGGACGUCACACAGGUAAUCGGGUGCCAGACCAUUCAGGGCAUUAGAAACUAAGGUCAGAACUUUAAACUUCACUCUGAAGUUUACGGGUAGCCAAUGGAGCCUCACCAGUACAGGUGUGAUAUGGUUCCAUCUAGAGGUGUUCGGCAAAAACCUGGCUGCCACAUUCUGUACGACCUGAAGCCUGUUAAGAGCAGAGACUAGUACAACAUCACCAAGAUAUUUGU